GGGAUGAAGGGUCGAGUGCCCGAGAUGCUUUCGGGAAAUGCGAGAAGCAGCCUGCAUCGCUUAUCCAGAAAAAGCCGCGGACAGCGGCUCCAUGCCGGAAUCUAGCAGGCAUCCCGCGACCCGAGGUUACCCUCGGUGACCAGGAAAGUGCAAGUCCUUCCAUGCUGGCUGGCAUGCAGAUGAAGUGGCUCGAUUUUGAACAACAUCUUGUACCAUGAGGAGGUUCAGCAAAGCAAGAAGAUGUGCAGAGCCUGGAGAACAACAACUUAUGAAGCUGCCAUAUGAGCCUUGGGUUGGUUAGGAAGAAAAGCUGAGAAUGCAAUUCCUGGAGCUGAGACAGCCUUCUUCCAACUAUUCGGUAACGAUCAUGAAGACAGAAAAUAUGCUGAGGAAGGCAGAGUGGGAAAAACAGCCUAGUUUCUUGAGGAAAUUGCUGAGCCAUUUCACCAAGUCAAGAACAUAUAUCUUUAGGUGUAUUGCUAUAGCAUAUUGUGAUGGAUAAGCUACUAUUUGAUGUUCCGAUUGUUGCAUCCUGGAUGAUAUGAUAGUUCCAUGAAUGGCACAAGGAGUUGAGCAACAAGGCAUCAAAUCUUAUUCAGCAGAUAACACGGAAAAACAACUAUAAUUCAGUCAUCUAUCCAAAAAAGGAUAUCAUGUUUAACAAAAAUAAAGUGAAUUUGAACAUGGUGGCUAGUUGUUGUCAUGGA